GACGAACGCUGGCGGCGUGCCUAAUACAUGCAAGUCGAGCGAAGUUUUUCUGGUGCUUGCACUAGAAAAACUUAGCGGCGAACGGGUGAGUAACACGUAAAGAACCUGCCUCAUAGACUGGGACAACUAUUGGAAACGAUAGCUAAUACCGGAUAACAGUAUUUCUCGCAUGAGAGAUAUUUAAAAGUUGGUUAUGCUAACACUAUGAGAUGGCUUUGCGGUGCAUUAGCUAGUUGGUGGGGUAAAGGCCUACCAAGGCGACGAUGCAUAGCCGACCUGAGAGGGUGAUCGGCCACACUGGGACUGAGACACGGCCCAGACUCCUACGGGAGGCAGCAGUAGGGAAUCUUCCGCAAUGGGCGAAAGCCUGACGGAGCAACGCCGCGUGAGUGAAGAAGGAUUUCGGUUCGUAAAGCUCUGUUGUUAGGGAAGAAUGGAUAUGUAGUAACUAUACAUAUA
rnacentral:rRNA from 1 species